rnacentral:tRNA from 1 species
GGCCCGUUAGCCUCAGUUGGUUAGAGCGUCGUGCUAAUAACGCGAAGGUCGUGGGUUCGAUCCCCCCACGGGCCG